CUUUGGGGUGUGACUGCGUACCUUUUGUAUAAUGGGUCAGCGACUUAUAUUCUGUAGCAAGGUUAACCGUAUAGGGGAGCCGGAGGGAAACCGAGUCUUAAUUGGGCGUUAAGUUGCAGGGUAUAGACCCGAAACCCGGUGAUCUAGCCAUGGGCAGGUUGAAGGUUGGGUAACACUAACUGGAGGACCGAACCGACUAAUGUUGAAAAAUUAGCGGAUGACCUGUGGCUGGGGGUGAAAGGCCAAUCAAACCGGGAGAUAGCUGGUUCUCCCCGAAAGCUAUUUAGGUAGCGCCUCGUGAAUUCAUCUCCGGGGGUAGAGCACUGUUUCGGCUAGGGGGCCAUCCCGGCUUACCAACCCGAUGCAAACUGCGAAUACCGGAGAAUGUUAUCACGGGAGACACACGGCGGGUGCUAACGUCCGUCGUGAAGAGGGAAACAACCCAGACCGCCAGCUAAGGUCCCAAAGUCAUGGUUAAGUGGGAAACGAUGUGGGAAGGCCCAGACAGCCAGGAUGUUGGCUUAGAAGCAGCCAUCAUUUAAAGAAAGCGUAAUAGCUCACUGGUCGAGUCGGCCUGCGCGGAAGAUGUAACGGGGCUAAACCAUGCACCGAAGCUGCGGCAGCGACGCUGAUGCGUUGUUGGGUAGGGGAGCGUUCUGUAAGCCUGUGAAGGUGGCCUGUGAGGG
rnacentral:rRNA from 1 species